CCUACGGGAGGCUGCAGUAGGGAAUUUUCGUCAAUGGGCGCAAGCCUGAACGAGCAAUGCCGCGUGAACGAGGAAGGUCUUCGGAUCGUAAAGUUCUGUUUAAGGGGAAAAAGAGCGGAGAGAGGAAAUGGUCUCCGAUUGAUAUUACCCUUCGAGGAAGUCACGGCUAACUACGUGCCAGCAGCCGCGGUAAUACGGAGGAUGCGAGCGUUAUCCGGAUUUAUUGGGUUUAAAGGGUGCGCAGGCGGCCUGUUAAGUCAGCGGUAAAAGCCCGGGGCUCAACCCCGGCGAGCCGUUGAAACUGGCGGGCUGGAGUUGGAGAGAAGUACGCGGAAUGCGCGGUGUAGCGGGGAAAUGCUUAGAUAUCGCGCAGAACCCCGAUUGCGAAGGCAGCGUACCGGCUCCACACUGACGCUGAGGCACGAAAGCGUGGGUAUCGAACAGGAUUAGAUACCCGAGUAGUC
rnacentral:rRNA from 1 species